AUGGUAGAAAAAGAACAAGACGAUAGCAACAGCAAAGGUUCAGAUACCAAUGAUGACGACGAUGACAGACAUCAUGAUGCAGAUUUCAUUCCUACAGACGGCGAUGAUGCCGAAGAGCACGACAGCGACGCAGAACAUGACAACGAUCCCAAAUCAGGCAAGAAGGACAGAAAGAGAAGAAAGACAAGCGGGAAAGAAUUGGUAGUACCAACAGUUGACGAAGAACAGCAAGAAACAGACAAAGAGAAAUGCCAAAUCAAGGCAGGGGCAGCAUUCGCCCAUGUCAAGAAAGCAUGGAAUUUACCUAAAGACCAUCACAAGAAAGAUAUUAGGACGGCAGGAUUUGGCAGCAUAGAGUACUGCAAAAUAACGGGCUCCAUCUGCAGACCGCUUGCAGCACACAUCUACGACAACCUCAACACAGAAACCAUGACAAUAACCUUCGGUGAUGCUACUGAAGACAAAAAAAUCAAGAUUACCAAGGAAGCUACCCACAAGGUGUUUGGAUACCCAAACGACACGCAAAGGUCAGCACCAAGGCCAGAGUCUAGCCCAGCUUCAAUGAAAGAACUGAUGUCAGACCUUGGCUUCAAAGAUACAAAAAUCGUGCCAAAACAAUUGUUCGAGAAGCUACAAAUAUUGGUGGAAAUAGAUGACGAAGAAUCAAACAGGAAAUUAGUUAAAAUAUUUUUCCUUCUUUUUUUCCACAAUGUUGUCUGCGGGUCAAGCAUCGCUAUCUUGGCCCAGACAACUAUAAUGGUCAAGGACAUGGACUAUCCGGAAAUGGCAAAGAUGGAUUUUUGCGAGGUAAUCGUCGAAUGUAUUAGGGAAGGAGCCAAGACAUGGCAGAAGCACAGGAUGUUGCCUCAGGAAGAAAAGAACAAAAAGCACGUCAAUGGUUUGGCACAGGUACCAGUAAUCAUGUACCUUGACUCCCUGUUGCUGCCAACCGACACAAAAGAAAUGCUGAAGAUUGCAAAGACAAUGGACAAAACCUCAUUACCACGAGCAAACCAUCUCAAAGAGAGUGACCUAGCGAAAAUAGCUAGAGCAGACAUGAAAACGCACGGAAAAGCAUGA
rnacentral:rRNA from 1 species